AGAACGAACGCUGGCGGCAGGCUUAACACAUGCAAGUCGAGCGCCCCGCAAGGGGAGCGGCAGACGGGUGAGUAACGCGUGGGAAUCUACCCAUCUCUACGGAACAACAGUUGGAAACGACUGCUAAUACCGUAUACGCCCUUUGGGGGAAAGAUUUAUCGGAGAUGGAUGAGCCCGCGUUGGAUUAGCUAGUUGGUGGGGUAAAGGCCUACCAAGGCGACGAUCCAUAGCUGGUCUGAGAGGAUGAUCAGCCACAUUGGGACUGAGACACGGACCCAAACUCCUACGGGAGGCAGGACAGUGGGGAAUAGUUGGACAAGUGGGCGCAAGCCUGAUCCAGCCAUGCCGCGUGAGUGAUGAGGCGUUAGGGU
rnacentral:rRNA from 1 species